UACGUAGGUGCGAGCGUUAAUCGGAAUUACUGGGCGUAAAGCGUGCGCAGGCGGUUGUGCAAGACAGAUGUGAAAUCCCCGGGCUCAACCUGGGAACUGCAUUUGUGACUGCACGGCUGGAGUGCAGCAGAGGGGGAUGGAAUUCCGCGUGUAGCAGUGAAAUGCGUAGAUAUGCGGAGGAACACCGAUGGCGAAGGCAAUCCCCUGGGCCUGCACUGACGCUCGAUGCACGAAAGCGUGGGGAGCAAACAGG
rnacentral:rRNA from 1 species